rnacentral:rRNA from 1 species
UACGUAGGGCGCAAGCGUUGUCCGGAAUUAUUGGGCGUAAAGAGCUCGUAGGCGGCCAGUUGCGUCUGCUGUGAAAUCCCGGGGCUCAACCCCGGGCGUGCAGUGGAUACGGGCUGGCUAGAGGCAGGCAGGGGAGAACGGAAUUCCUGGUGUAGCGGUGAAAUGCGCAGAUAUCAGGAGGAACACCGGUGGCGAAGGCGGUUCUCUGGGCCUGUACUGACGCUGAGGAGCGAAAGCGUGGGGAGCGAACAGG